rnacentral:rRNA from 1 species
CCUACGGGAGGCAGCAGUCGGGAAUUUUGGGCAAUGGGCGAAAGCCUGACUCAGCAACGCUGCGUGAAGGAUGAAGUAUUUCGGUAUGUAAACUUCGUAAAAAUGGGAAGAAUAAAUGACGGUACCAUUUGUAAGGUCCGGCUAACUACGUGCCAGCAGCCGCGGUAAUACGUAGGGACCAAGCGUUGUUCGGAUUUACUGGGCGUAAAGGGCGCGUAGGCGGCGCGACAAGUCACUUGUGAAAUCUCCGGGCUUAACCCGGAACGGUCAAGUGAUACUGCUGUGCUAGAGUGUAGAAGGGGCAAUCGGAAUUCUUGGUGUAGCGGUGAAAUGCGUAGAUAUCAAGAGGAACACCAGAGGCGAAGGCGGAUUGCUGGGCUAAUACUGACGCUGAGGCGCGAAAGCUAGGGUAGCAAACGGGAUUAGAUACCCCGGUAGUCCUAGCCCUAAACGAUGAAUACUUGGUGUCUGGAGUUUAAUUCUCUGGGUGCCGUCGCUAACGUUUUAAGUAUUCCGCCUGGGGAGUACGCACGCAAGUGUGAAACUCAAAGGAAUUGACGG